rnacentral:rRNA from 1 species
GACGAACGCUGGCAGCGUGCUUAACACAUGCAAGUCGAACGGAAAGGCCCUGCUUUUGUGGGGUGCUCGAGUGGCGAACGGGUGAGUAACACGUGAGUAACCUGCCCUUGACUUUGGGAUAACUCCAGGAAACUGGGGCUAAUACCGGAUAGGAGCUCCUGCUGCAUGGUGGGGGUUGGAAAGUUUCGGCGGUUGGGGAUGGACUCGCGGCUUAUCAGCUUGUUGGUGGGGUAGUGGCUUACCAAGGCUUUGACGGGUAGCCGGCCUGAGAGGGUGACCGGCCACAUUGGGACUGAGAUACGGCCCAGACUCCUACGGGAGGCAGCAGUGGGGAAUAUUGCACAAUGGGCGGAAGCCUGAUGCAGCAACGCCGCGUGCGGGAUGACGGCCUUCGGGUUGUAAACCGCUUUCGCCUGUGACGAAGCGUGAGUGACGGUAAUGGGUAAAGAAGCACCGGCUAACUACGUG